rnacentral:rRNA from 1 species
GGGUUGUGAGGUUAAGCGACUAAGCGUACACGGUGGAUGCCCUGGCAGUCAGAGGCGAUGAAGGACGUGCUAAUCUGCGAAAAGCGUCGGUAAGGUGAUAUGAACCGUUACAGCCGGCGAUGUCCGAAUGGGGAAACCCAGUGCAAUUCGUUGCACUAUCGUUAACUGAAUACAUAGGUUAACGAGGCGAACCGGGGGAACUGAAACAU